UACGUAGGGUGCAAGCGUUAAUCGGAAUUACUGGGCGUAAAGCGUGCGCAGGCGGUUUGCUAAGACAGGUGUGAAAUCCCCGGGCUUAACCUGGGAACUGCGCUUGUAACUGGCAAGCUAGAGUGUGGCAGAGGGGGGUGGAAUUCCAGGUGUAGCAGUGAAAUGCGUAGAGAUCUGGAGGAACACCGAUGGCGAAGGCAGCCCCCUGGGCUAACACUGACGCUCAUGCACGAAAGCGUGGGGAGCAAACAGG
rnacentral:rRNA from 1 species